rnacentral:rRNA from 1 species
AUUGAACGCUGGCGGCAUGCCUUACACAUGCAAGUCGAACGGCAGCACGGGGGCAACCCUGGUGGCGAGUGGCGAACGGGUGAGUAAUGCAUCGGAACGUGCCCAGUAGUGGGGGAUAACCAGUCGAAAGACUGGCUAAUACCGCAUACGACCUACGGGUGAAAGCGGGGGACCGGAAGGCCCCGCGCUAUUGGAUCGGCCGAUGGCUGAUUAGCUAGUUGGCGGGGUAAGAGCCCACCAAGGCGACGAUCAGUAGCUGGUCUGAGAGGACGACCAGCCACACUGGGACUGAGACACGGCCAGACUCCUACGGGAGGCAGCAGUGGGGAAUUUUGGACAAUGGGCGCAAGCCUGAUCCAGCCAUGCCGCGUGCGGGAAGAAGGCCUUCGGGUUGUAAACCGCUUUUGGCAGGAACGAAACGGCGCAAGCCAAUACCUUGCGCUAAUGACGGUACCUGCAGAAUAAGCCCUGGCUAACUUCGUGCCAGCCGCCGCGGUAACAC